UACGAAGGGUGCAAGCGUUACUCGGAAUUACUGGGCGUAAAGCGUGCGUAGGUGGUUCGUUAAGUCUGAUGUGAAAGCCCUGGGCUCAACCUGGGAACUGCAUUGGAUACUGGCGAUCUGGAGUGCGGUAGAGGGUAGCGGAAUUCCCGGUGUAGCAGUGAAAUGCGUAGAUAUCGGGAGGAACAUCCGUGGCGAAGGCGGCUACCUGGACCAGCACUGACACUGAGGCACGAAAGCGUGGGGAGCAAACAGGAUUAGAUACCCUGGUAGUC
rnacentral:rRNA from 1 species